AGAGUUUGAUCCUGGCUCAGGACGAACGCUGGCGGCGUGCUUAACACAUGCAAGUCGAACGGAAUCCAUGGUGUAGCAAUACACCGGAAGAUUUAGUGGCGAACGGGUGAGGAUCACGUGAGAAACGUGCCCCAGACUCUGGGAUAACAAUUGGAAACGAUUGCUAAUACCGGAUGACGUCGGAGAAUCGCAUGAUUCACUGACGAAAGAUAUUUCGGUUUGGGAGCGUCUCGCGGCCUAUCAGCUUGUUGGUGGGGUAAUGGCCUACCAAGGCAACGACGGGUAGCUGGUCUGAGAGGAUGAUCAGCCACACUGGGACUGAGGCACGGCCCAGACUCCUACGGGAGGCAGCAGUGGGGAAUCUUGCGCAAUGGGCGAAAGCCUGACGCAGCAACGCCGCGUGCGGGAUGAAGGCCUUCGGGCUGUAAACCGCUUUCAGCAGGAACGAAAAUGACGGUACCUGCAGAAGAAGGAGCGGCCAACUACGUGCCAGCAGCCGCGGUGACACGUAGGCUCCAAGCGUUGUCCGGAUUUAUUGGGCGUAAAGAGCUCGUAGGCGGUUGAGUAAGUCGGGUGUGAAAACUCUGGGCUUAACCCGGAGACGCCAUCCGAUACUGCUCUGACUAGAGUUCAGGAGGGGAGUGGGGAAUUCCUAGUGUAGCGGUGAAAUGCGCAGAUAUUAGGAGGAACACCGGUGGCGAAGGCGCCACUCUGGACUGAAACUGACGCUGAGGAGCGAAAGCAUGGGUAGCAAACAGGAUUAGAUACCCUGGUAGUCCAUGCCGUAAACGGUGGGCACUAGGUGUGGGUUCCAACUAACGGGAUCCGCGCCGUCGCUAACGCAUUAAGUGCCCCGCCUGGGGAGUACGGUCGCA
rnacentral:rRNA from 1 species